rnacentral:lncRNA from 1 species
CUUGAAUGGAAAACUGUUCGUUUAAAAGGCGCAAGACCAGUUUCCUGUUAAAGUGAAUCACUUUUGAGUUCUAAAACAAUCAAUUCCAAUCAAUCCUUGUAUGAAAUAAGUUCAAUCCUACCAGAUAAGGAUGGGUUUUUAGAAAUUUAAUGUAACCUUCAAAAACUAUUAAUCUUGUUAUCAAUGCUAUUAUCUAGUCGAACUGUAAAUCACGUUUUAUUAAUUGAUAUGUUUUUAACAAAUAAGUUUUUAAUGUAAAAUAUUCUUUCAAACAAAAACAGUUUGCUAUCUCCUAUUGCUCUUCUUCUCAAAAACAUACAAGACUACCAAGCAAAUAUAUUAAUUGAGAGUAUGUACAGUCUAAAUCUCUGUUCUCUUGCAAAAGUAUAAACACAUUUGACUUCGCAUCCCGUUAAACUAGUAAAUUCAAUUGUAAACUUAUCGACUAGUUGGUUGACAAAAAAUAGUCCUACAUUGUGUUGCAAAAAUGGCUGAUGUAGAUUAUUUUGUUUAAAGAAAGGGAUGAAUCGUACUUUGUAAAUAAACACUGGUUCAAACAUAAAGUUCUCAAAGACUGACGUCAUCAAGAUAAACAUAAAGUUCUCAAAGACUGACAUCAUCAAGAUACAUAAUUUGUUUUAUUGACAACUCAUUUGUUGAUUUUGAUUUUAUUUAUUUUCAAGAAACAGUCAGCAUUACUACGGAAACCUAUAGUAUUGUGUUUCUUUUCUUUCAAGACAUGUUCCAUUGUUCGUAUGAGACAGCCUUCAUCCAAGAGCUUCUAAGGGAAAAUGAUAAAAAAAUAGUAUUAUCGUUUAAAUAUUGCAUAUUGAUCUAUUAAGGAGAUGUCAUCUUAUUAAAUAAAUAAUGUGUGUUGCAUAUGUUAAAAACAUUUCUUAUAGGUGAUGUGUUUCUCUCGGUUUUAAUUUAUAACCCGGAUGUGUUUUCUCUCAAUCGAUUUAUGACUUUCGAACAGCGGUAUACUACUGUUACCUUUCUUUAUCUACCCAUUGGAGAUGCAAGUUAAGACUCCUUUACAGUAUAUAUCUUGACAGACAUCUAGACAUUCACUAUGAGGUUUGGUUUGGAAUGAUCCCAGUGGUGAACUUUGAACUUUUAAGAAAUAUCAUUCCAGCACCGUCUACAUAUGUUGUUGGUGCAAUUUUGUCAUAGCUGGCGAUUCUUACCAUGAUAAACGAGCAAAAGAACCAAAUUGAAUGAUUAAACAUAGAAAAGAUGAAUUCAUCCCUUCGAAAGUUGUGAGUACGAUAUCAAUAGUUUAUUAACCGUCAUUAAAUAUCUGUUACAGAUUACCACAGAAAUGCUUCAAUUGUCGAUUACAAUCCCGUCCUCUUGUCCUCGAUUGUAACAAUACCAAAUAAAACCUAUCCCCAAAAUUGUAACUGUAUGAACAAAACGACGGGUGCCACAUAGUCACCCAAACUACUCACAAAAUCGGAGCACCUGACUUCACCCCGUCAUUUGUUUAUGCCAUGGCGUUGUCAGAUUUGUUUUCUACUUUUCAACCCCGCAUCUUUAUCAAUGAAACGAAAACUCGGACUGCUUAUUUCAAUGAUGCAGAGUAUAUUAAAUAUUCUGUAGAACGAUGACGAAAAUUAAUAAAACUGAUAUGUAAACGUUCUUUUAUACAGAUGAUGUUUUCGAUGAGUAAUAUUGAAUAUUUCCAAUUGACCAUGCUUUACUUUUUUGUGAUUUUAUUUUCAAUAAGGACUGUUAGGACCACCCUAUUUGGUAAUUAUUUUAGAUAACAUAGUAAUCUAUGAUCAAAAUGCAAAAAAAAAAAAAUAAUGACCAAAGGAUUUGCAAGGGUUAAAUGUAAGAUGGCUUUAAUAGCUUUUGGAGUUUAAAAACAAGAAUAAAGUAAUUUAAACACUUUUUAUGUUGACAUGUAAUUUACAGAAACAUGACGAGAUUACAUUUCUGCAUUAGAUUUGUCCUUACUUUUCCAAUGUCACACACUGUCUAUGUUUUACGUCAAAGAUAAAGUCGAUUGUUUUAUUGUCAUCAUUUACGACUACUAAUAUUGGUGCAACCAGCAUAACCUAUUCAUAAAAAGGAACUUAAGGUUUGUCUGUGCGGUACUUAUUAUUUCGACUGAGUAAUGGCAAAGACGUAAUGGCGUCCUCCACAUAUCAUUUCAGUAUUUGUUUCUUUACAUUGCUGUAUUAUUGAAGUCUACCACAUCCCUUUUAAAAUUCGUUUUUAUCAUAUAACAAAUAUAAUGCUGUAAAAUUUUAGGAAAAUUAGAAAAAAAUCAAGCAAUGAAAUUGUAAAAAUAUACAUAAAAAGAAUAGACUCGCUGACAGUACAUUGAUCCCAGUGGUGAACUUUGAACUUUUAAGAAAUAUCAUUCCAGCACCGUCUACAUAUGUUGUUGGUGCAAUUUGUCAUAGCUGGCGAUUCUUACCAUGAUAAACGAGCAAAAGAACCAAAUUGAAUGAUUGCAAAAAGUAAAGAUGAAUUCAUCCCUUCGAAAGUUGUGAGUACGAUAUCAAUAGUUUAUUAACCGUCAUUAAAUAUCUGUUAUAGAUUACCACAGAAAUGUUUCAAUUAUCGAUUACAAUCCCGUCCUCUUGUCGUCGAUUGUAACAAUACCAAAUAAAACAUAUCCCAAAAUUGUAACUAUAUGAACAAAACGACGGGUGCCACAUAUUCAACCAAACUACUCACAAAAUCGGAGUACCUGACUUCACCCCGUCAUUUGUUUAUGCCAUGGCGUUGUCAGAUUUGUUUUCUACUUUUCUACCCCGCAUCUUUAUCAAUGAAACAAAAACUCUGACUUGCUUAUUUCAAUGAUGCAGAGUAUAUUAAAUAUUCUGUAGAACGAUGACGAAAAUGAAUAA